CUUCUCACAUAGCGCCUCACAAUAGGUAGCAGCUGCUCACUUGACCUGCUGGAGACAAUUUUGCACACCUUUAGCACAGACAUGUUGCCAUGGAAACACAAUUGCUUACCUGUAGAUGAACUCGAAGUGCUUCGAAGAGAUAACCGGGAACGAAAAAACACAGACCCCUUCCAGACAGAAGCUGGAACAUCGGAACGAUGAUGCGCAUUCCUUGUGCAGCACCUGGCAGUAUUUAUUUGGACAACCAAAGCAACAAAGCUUAAGUGAAGUAGUUUACACUGAAUGCAUCUAACACUCUGCAACACAUUUCUACUGUCAGGUUUUAAAAACAACCAUCAAAAUCUCACCACUGACAUCCGUCUCCCUGGACCCGUUUGUGUCAUUUCAUUUUUUUGUUGCAUCUCAUUGCUCUACGCAAAAUCUCUUUUUUCUGGAUCCAUCGCACAAUUUUGCAUCUAUUUUGAAGACCAUCCUUUCCCUGUAACAACCCAAGAAUUUUUUUUUGGAUUAAGGACAUCUUCCAAGCCUGCUGAGCUGUUCUGAAAUCGCUCUGUUCCCGCGUUUGACAUGAACGGAGGACCUGCAGUCACGUGAUACAGCAGCGCACUGUACAACGUCAUUUCAGGUGCGAAGACUGAAGGAGACCUUUUUGCUGCUACAAAGACAUGGAAACUCGUGGACGGAAGUCAAAGAAGCCUCCAACGAAACAUCUGAUGCAAAGUCAUGUACUUCUGACGUGACUUCAUGCAAAUGAUCUGGUAUUCAGUCACCACAGCAGAGUAAAGCAGCCUCAUCUUCUAGCCAUUCUAGGUCAUCAAGCAUUUCAGGAUCAUCUACAGGUGCUCCAAAAGGAAAAGGUAAGAAGCUUCCUCCAAAAUCUUUACCUUUUGCCUUCAUUCACACGUGAGUAUAAUACACUGAACAAAUGUGUCUUGGUCUUAGUGUUUCAGACCUUUUUAAAUCCAUCAGGGAAUCAUUAAG